rnacentral:rRNA from 1 species
GAAAGCUUGCUUUCCUUGAUGACGACUGGCGCACGGGUGAGUAACGCGUAUCCAACCUUCCCAUAACUACGGGAUAACCCGUUGAAAGACGGCCUAAUACCGCAUGACAUCGUUUGCUGACAUCAAAUAACGAUUAAAGGUUUAGCGGUUAUGGAUGGGGAUGCGUCUGAUUAGCUUGUUGGCGGGGUAACGGCCCACCAAGGCUACGAUCAGUAGGGGUUCUGAGAGGAAGGUCCCCCACAUUGGAACUGAGACACGGUCCAAACUCCUACGGGAGGCAGCAGUGAGGAAUAUUGGUCAAUGGGCGAGAGCCUGAACCAGCCAAGUAGCGUGCAGGAUGACGGCCCUAUGGGUUGUAAACUGCUUUUAUGUGGGGAUAAAGUGCGUGACGUGUCAUGCAUUGCAGGUACCACAUGAAUAAGGACCGGCUAAUUCCGUGCCAGCAGCCGCGGUAAUACGGAAGGUCCGGGCGUUAUCCGGAUUUAUUGGGUUUAAAGGGAGCGUAGGCUGUCUAUUAAGCGUGUUGUGAAAUUUACCGGCUCAACCGGUGGCUUGCAGCGCGAACUGGUCGACUUGAGUAUGCAGGAAGUAGGCGGAAUUCAUGGUGUAGCGGUGAAAUGCUU